GCUGAUGUAGCUCAGUUGGUAGAGCAGCUCACUCGUAAUGAGCAGGUCGUCGGUUCGAGUCCGAUCAUCAGCU
rnacentral:tRNA from 7 species